GGGGUUGUGGCUCAGUGGUAGAGUGCUUGCCUAGUAUGUGUGAGGCACUAGGUUCGAUUCUUGGCACUGCCU
rfam:Ictidomys tridecemlineatus contig107897, whole genome shotgun sequence.